rnacentral:rRNA from 1 species
CGAACCGUCCAAACGUUAUUCGGAAUCACUGGGCUUACAGAGCUCGUAGGCGGUCUGGAAAGUUGGGUGUGAAAUCCCUCGGCCUAACCGAGGAACUGCGCUUGAAACUACCAGACUCGAGGGAGAUAGAGGAAAGCGGAACUGAUGGUGGAGCGGUGAAAUGCGUUGAUAUCAUCAGGAACACCGGUGGCGAAGGCGGCUUUCUGGGUCUUACCUGACGCUGAGGAACGAAAGGCCAGGGGAGCGAACGGGAUUAGAUACCCCGGUAGUCCUGGCCGUAAACGAUGAGCACUAGGUCGUGGGCCUCCACAGGCCCUCGGCCGUAGCGAAAGUGUUAAGUGCUCCGCCUGGGGAGUAUGGUCGCAAGGCUG